GUAAGUGGUUCUGUAAGAGUGUAGCCAGGGGCGGAACAAAGACCUGACAAAGGACAACAAGAAGAAAAAAACAGAAAAAACCGUGCCUGGCUGCUGAUCAAGUUCUCUGAUGGUCUCUGUCUCUUUGAUAAUGAAAUCUGGACAUCCAGACACAUAAGAGAGAGAGAAAGCUGGUCUAUGCACGCACAUACAUCAUGCAGACUGUUCAAAGAGCCUGCAACCCCGAGUGUUGCGAGGGAUGCUUGACUUCAUAGGAAUGGCUCUCUGGUAGCAAGACACAACACUUGUGUUCUGACAACGUAGAAACAGAGCCUUGGGAGAGAUCCUGUUAGCUCGAUUUUUCCACACCAGGAAUCCGAGGCACAGGGAAAUCUCAGCCUCAUCAGCCAAAUCCACAAGCACCUGACUCUGUUCAUCGGGAUAUGGUGUUAAAGCACUGCAGGGGAAGAGCUCUGCUAAGAAAAGUCUCCGUGAAAAAUGUGUGUUUGGGAAUUUUUGGCAGAUGGGGAAAGGCUACUUCAGUGGUCAUAGAUUUAUGAAGUGAUUUGAGUAUAGCCCAGGCUUUAGGAUUAAAGAACUGAAAAGAAUUAAAGUGGUGAGGUUCCCCGCUUCAGACAGGUUUAUCCAGAAAACAAAUCAAAUACAGAGUUCUUGGGAGUGUUGACUUAACAACUUUAUGUGAGUCCCUGGGUGCAUCUGCAAAGGAAAGGGACCUCCCUGCAUAUCAAGAAGCCAUGGAGAAGGCAUCUGGCUGACUGAAGUGACUAUAACCUGAUAGCCAGUUGAGCUGUGAAAGCCAACAGCAGGGAUUUCUAGGCUGAAGUCUUAGUUCAGGUUUAGUCUGUAUGGAGCCAAGAUCCUCGAGUGAAUUCUUCCUCCUGGAAACUUGUCCCUACCCCCAUUUUCUACAUCAGUGGAGACUGGGUGACUUCCAUUUCCCAAUGAUGCACUGAGUUCAUAUGUUUAUAUUUCAGUUCAGUUCAGUUCAGUCGCUCAGUUGUGUCCAAUCUUUGCGACCCCAUGGACUGCAGCACACCAGGCUUCCCUGUCCUUCACCAUCUCCAGGAGCUUGCUCAAACUCAUAUUUAUCCAGUCGGUGAUGCCAUCCAACCAUCUCAUCCUC
ensembl:lncRNA